rnacentral:tmRNA from 1 species
GGAAAACCGUCGGGCCGGCUUGGCAAAGGCCGUCUGAAAAUUUUCAGACGGCCUUUCGGGGCGGGUUGUUAAGUUUAAUCAAAAAGUUCAGAUAAUGUUGAUAACGGCGGUAUCGUCCGUUUUGGCCUGCUCGGUAAUAGCAUAAGACGGUACUUGGCUGCCGCUAAAACCGGUGAGGCCGUCUGAAUAUGGAUUGCCGGAAAGCAGUUCGGCGUUGCUGUUUUCCA